rnacentral:tRNA from 1 species
CCGGGUUUGGCGCAGUUGGUAGCGUGCUUGACUGGGGGUCAAGAGGCCGCAGGUUCAAGUCCUGUAACUCGGACCA